rnacentral:rRNA from 1 species
GAUGAACGCUGGCGGCGUGCCUAAUACAUGCAAGUCGAGCGAACAGACGAGGAGCUUGCUCCUCUGACGUUAGCGGCGGACGGGUGAGUAACACGUGGAUAACCUACCUAUAAGACUGGGAUAACUUCGGGAAACCGGAGCUAAUACCGGAUAAUGUAUUGAACCGCAUGGUUCAAUAGUGAAAGACGGUUUUGCUGUCACUUAUAGAUGGAUCCGCGCCGCAUUAGCUAGUUGGUAAGGUAACGGCUUACCAAGGCAACGAUGCGUAGCCGACCUGAGAGGGGGUACGGGCGGCUGGGGAGUGACAACCGGCGCAGAGGCCAAAGGGAGGGAGGAGAAGCGGUUAGUAAGUAAUGAGUGAAAUCGGAUCGAAGAAACGUGUUGUUAGUGAAGAAGGUAUGUGUAUAUAAAAACUCUGUUAUUGGGGAAGCAAAAACGGAAAAGUAAGGCUGACUGCGUGGAAGGGACCUAAGUAAAAAAUCGGGGGAAAACACGU